GACGAACGCUGGCGGCGUGCCUAAUACAUGCCAGUCGAGCGGAAUGAAGAAGAAGCUUGCUUCUUCUGAUUUUAGCGGCGGACGGGUGAGUAACACGUGGGCAACCUACCUUGUAGAUUGGGAUAACUCCGGGAAACCGGGGCUAAUACCGAAUAAUCCAUUUUGCUUCAUGGCGAGAUGUUAAAAGGCGGCUUCGGCUGUCACUACGAGAUGGGCCCGCGGCGCAUUAGCUAGUUGGUAGGGUAAUGGCCUACCAAGGCGACGAUGCGUAGCCGACCUGAGAGGGUGAUCGGCCACACUGGGACUGAGACACGGCCCAGACUCCUACGGGAGGCAGCAGUAGGGAAUCUUCCACAAUGGACGAAAGUCUGAUGGAGCAACGCCGCGUGAGUGAAGAAGGUUUUCGGAUCGUAAAACUCUGUUGUAAGGGAAGAACACGUACGAGAGUAACUGCUCGUACCUUGACGGUACCUUAUUAGAAAGCCACGGCUAACUACGUG
rnacentral:rRNA from 1 species